rnacentral:tRNA from 1 species
GUCCCUGUAGCGCAAUGGGUAGCGCGUUGGAUUUCUAAUCCAAUGUCGUGGGUCUUAAUCCCACCUGAGAUG